AUGGCGGGCGACUCUCCGGCCACCGCCUCCGCCUCCGCCCCCGCCCCCGCCCCCGCCCCGGCGUCGCCGUGCCCCGCCCCCUCCCGGCCCACGGACCCCGACUUCCUCAGCUGCGUCCUCCAGCCCCCGACCCCCUCCUCCUCAACCUCCCGCCCCGACCCCGACUACGCCGCCCUCCGCCGCCUCCUCCUCCGCCGCAAGUCCUCCUCCGCGCUCAACCACCGCAUGGAGUGGCGGUGCAACGGCAAGGGCUACGUCGUCUACCGGAACUUCCUCCUCCGCCGUAUCGAAGCCGCCUCAAGCAGCGCCCACAGCACGCCCAGCAACAGUGGGAGGUGGUUUGCUAGCCCUACUACAUUUUCUGAAGCAGACAGCUGGAGUUCUAUCAGGGACCUCAGAAGUAACAGCGGUAAGUUAAGCCGCACCUUGAGUGUCAGCUCAAAGCAUAGUGAACCUGAGCGCCAUGUCAGAUUCGCCGAACCUGCGUACUCGUUUGUUGGAAUGCAUUGCAUCUUUGACAACUGCAAAGCAUCAGUUACCGUAUUGCAAUUUGGCCGCACGAAUUCAGAUCUGCUUGCUUAUGGUUCAUCCGAUGGCAGUUUGACGGUUUGCCAGGUUUCUGAGCCACCCUCUGUUCUUCAAAAAUUAACAGGACAUUCAAAAGAUAUCACAGAUUUUGAUUUUUCAUCUAAUAACCAGUACAUAGCUUCAUGCUCCAUGGAUAAAACUGUGAGAGUGUGGGAGAUCUCUAAAGGCACUUGUAUCAGAGUCGUAUAUGGAGUUUCUUCCCAGCUAUGCAUCUGCUUUCAUCCCGUGAACAAUAAUUUGCUGUUAGUUGGCAAUGCAAACAGGGAAAUCAAUGCAAUUAAUUUUAGUACUGGGAGAGUAAUCAGCAAACUCACCUGUGACAAUGCGGUUACAGCAUUGGAUAUCGACCACACUGGUCAGCUUAUUUUUGCUGGUGACGCGCAGGGUUACAUAUACACUAUUAGUGUGAACUCUCACACAGGGUCUUUAUCUAGAACUCAUAAGAACAAGAGUUGUAAGAGCAAAUCUUCCGUUACAACCAUCCAGUACCGUACCUUCUCUCUCGUAGCACGUUGUCCAGUACUUCUCUCUUGUGCUCAAGAUGGAAACCUGUAUUUCUUCAGCAUUGCAACAAAUUCCCAUGGAUACUUGACUCUCAUAUGCUCUCUAAAAUUGGCUUCACCAGUGCAGAAUAUCCGUGCUUCUUUCUGUCCACUUCUUUCCCUUGAGAAAGGGGAAUUCAUAGUUACUGGCAGUGGAGAUUCGAAUGUUUACUUCUAUGAUUUGGCUCGGCCAAAGAAUUCAUGUGUAAAUAAACUGCAGGGACACGGCUCUCCAGUAAUGGGAGUAGCCUGGAAUCACGGGGAAAAUUUGCUCGCCUCAUCCGAUUCAGACGGUACAGUUAUUGUAUGGAAACGAGCAAAAACUAAUUAG
rnacentral:rRNA from 1 species